rnacentral:rRNA from 1 species
CCUACGGGUGGCAGCAGUAGGGGAUUUUCGGCAAUGGGGGGAACCCUGACCGAGCAACGCCGCGUGAACGAAGAAGUUAUUCGUAAUGUAAAGUUCUUUUAACAGGGAAGAAAGAGAAAUUUGACGGUACCUGAAGAAUAAGCUCCGGCUAACUACGUGCCAGCAGCAGCGGUAAUACGUAGGGAGCGAUCGUUAUCCGGAAUUAUUGGACGAAAAGGGGGCGUAGAGGGCAUCGAAGGUCGUUGGUAAAAAUGCUGGGCUCAACCCAGGAGUGCAAAAGGUACUGCAAGGCUAGAGUACGAGAGAGGCAAGCGGAAUUACAGGUGUAGCGGUAAAAUGCGUAGAUAUCAGGAAGAACACCAGCGGCGAAGGCGGCUUGCUGGGUCGAGACUGACAUUGAGGCACGAAAGCGUGGGGAGCAAACAGGAUUAGAUACCCGAGUAGUC